rnacentral:rRNA from 1 species
UACAGAGGUGGCAAGCGUUGUUCGGAAUUACUGGGCGUAAAGGGCGCGUAGGCGGUCUUUUAAGUCUUGUGUGAAAUCCCUCGGCUCAACUGAGGAACUGCACGAGAUACUGGAAGACUUGAGUUCGGGAGAGGGAAGCGGAAUUCCGGGUGUAGCGGUGAAAUGCGUAGAUAUCCGGAGGAACACCGGUGGCGAAGGCGGCUUCCUGGACCGACACUGACGCUGAGGCGCGAAAGCUAGGGGAGCAAACGGG